GUGGUGCCUUUGAUCGGGCACUUUUAUUUUCUCUGAGUAUAUUUUAUCCUACUCAUACACAUGACAACAAAGAGCCGUCAUCUUCUAUCUGCAACUUCUGUUCCGGCAAAUCAAUACAAGCAUUCUUGAGUUCGUGUGGCUGAAGCCAUGAGUACACCUAAUUGAAGUCAUUCAUCUUGGAGGAAAGUAGUUGUAUCUCAGAAAUAGAUUUGCUUCAACUCAAUACAUCAAGGAUCUUUCUGUGGGGGCAAAUCUGUCUUUAAGACAACGACAUUAACGUGCCUAAACUCUCCAUAUUAUUCUCUAUUAUUUCCGUUUUUAAAAUUUUUGUUAUAUCUCUACAUUUUAAAACUAACAAAACUAGGCCUAGAUUUCUAGACCUAGAUAAACUAAUUUCACUUCUU